GACGAACGCUGGCGGCGUGCUUAACACAUGCAAGUCGAACGGAAAGGCUCCUGCUUGCAGGGGUACUCGAGUGGCGAACGGGUGAGUAACACGUGGGUGAUCUGCCUUGUACUCUGGGAUAAGCUUGGGAAACUGGGUCUAAUACCGGAUAAUAACUGCCUUUAGUGUGGUGGUUGGAAAGUUUUUUCGGUGCAAGAUGAGCUCGCGGCCUAUCAGCUUGUUGGUGGGGUAAUGGCCUACCAAGGCGUCGACGGGUAGCCGGUCUGAGAGGGUGUACGGCCACAUUGGGACUGAGAUACGGCCCAGACUCCUACGGGAGGCAGCAGUGGGGAAUAUUGCACAAUGGGUGGAAGCCUGAUGCAGCGACGCCGCGUGGGGGAUGACGGCCUUCGGGUUGUAAACUCCUUUCGACAGGGACGAAGCUUUUUGUGACGGUACCUGUAUAAGAAGCACCGGCUAACUACGUG
rnacentral:rRNA from 1 species